AACGAACGCUGGCGGCAGGCUUAACACAUGCAAGUCGAACGGGUGCGAGCAAUCGCAUCAGUGGCAGACGGGUGGGUAACACAUGGGAACCUUCCUAGGGGUACGGAACAACUCAGGGAAACUUGAGCUAAUACCGUAUACGUCCGUAAGGAGAAAGAUUCAUCGCCCCCUAGACGGCCCGCGUCGGAUUAGGUAGUUGGUGGGGUAACGGCCUACCAAGCCUACGAUCCGUAGCUGAUCNGAGAGGAUGAUCAGCCACACUGGGACUGAGACACGGCCCAGACUCCUACGGGAGGCAGCAGUGGGGAAUCUUGGACAAUGGGCGCAAGCCUGAUCCAGCCAUGCCGCGUGAGUGAAGAAGGCCUUAGGGUUGUAAACCGCUUUUGGUCGGGAAGAAAGGGCAGGCUUGAAUACGGCCUGUCUUUGACGGUACCGGGCAGAAUAAGCACCGGCUAACUACGUGCCAGCCGCCGCUGUAAU
rnacentral:rRNA from 1 species